AACGAACGCUGGCGGCAUGCCUAACACAUGCAAGUCGAACGAGACCUUCGGGUCUAGUGGCGCACGGGUGCGUAACGCGUGGGAACCUGCCCUUAGGCUCGGAAUAACUCCCCGAAAGGGGUGCUAAUAUCGGAUAAUGUCUUCGGACCAAAGAUUUAUCGCCUUUGGAUGGGCCCGCGUUGGAUUAGCUAGUUGGUAGGGUAAAAGCCUACCAAGGCGACGAUCCAUAGCUGGUCUGAGAGGAUGAUCAGCCACACUGGGACUGAGACACGGCCCAGACUCCUACGGGAGGCAGCAGUGGGGAAUAUUGGACAAUGGGCGAAAGCCUGAUCCAGCAAUGCCGCGUGAGUGAUGAAGGCCUUAGGGUUGUAAAGCUCUUUUACCCGGGAUGAUAAUGACAGUACCGGGAGAAUAAGCUCCGGCUAACUCCGUG
rnacentral:rRNA from 1 species